GCAGAUGUCUAUCGUUUCCUACGGUAAAGAAAAGCCGGCAGUGCUGGGCCAUGACGAAGCGGCCUAUUCUAAGAACCGCCGCGCCGUACUGGUCUACUAAGAGAACGUCAUGAACGGUAAUUUCAGAUGUUGUGUACUC
rfam:Leminorella grimontii ATCC 33999 = DSM 5078 strain ATCC 33999 GLGR.assembly.11, whole genome shotgun sequence.